UUCUUAGACCUGUGCAAUGUCAUUUUUAGGCACCGUUUCAGGGUAGGAAUACAGCAGAACAUCUAAGCUUGGUAUGUGCCGCAGCCAUCUGAGAAGGG
rfam:Campylobacter ureolyticus ACS-301-V-Sch3b genomic scaffold acmbC-supercont1.1, whole genome shotgun sequence.